rnacentral:rRNA from 1 species
ACUGAACGCUGGCGGCAGGCUUAACACAUGCAAGUCGAGCGGAGAUGAGGUGCUUGCACCUUAUCUCAGCGGCGGACGGGUGAGUAAUGCUUAGGAAUCUGCCUAUUAGUGGGGGACAACAUUCCGAAAGGAAUGCUAAUACCGCAUACGUCCUACGGGAGAAAGCAGGGGAUCUUCGGACCUUGCGCUAAUAGAUGAGCCUAAGUCGGAUUAGCUAGUUGGUGGGGUAAAGGCCUACCAAGGCGACGAUCUGUAGCGGGUCUGAGAGGAUGGACCGCACAACUGGGACUGCGACACGGCCCAGACUCCUACGGGAGGCAGCAGUGGGGAAUUUUGGACAAGGGGGGGAAGCCUGAUCCAGCCAUGCCGCGUGUGGGAAGAAGGCCUUUGGGUUGUAAACCGCUUUAAGCGAGGAGGAGAAUACUUGGAUUAAUACUGUGGGAUAGUGACGGUAACGCAAAAAAAAGCCCCGGCUAACGUCGUGCCAGCAGCCGCCGUAAAAC